rnacentral:rRNA from 1 species
UACGUAGGGAGCAAGCGUUGUCCGGAAUCAUUGGGCGUAAAGCGCGCGUAGGCGGCCUCAUAAGUCCGUUGUGAAAGUCAAAGGCUCAACCUUUGAAAGCCGAUGGAUACUGUGAGGCUAGAGUCCGGAAGAGGCGAGUGGAAUUCCUGGUGUAGCGGUGGAAUGCGCAGAUAUCAGGAAGAACACCCGUGGCGAAAGCGGCUCUCUGGAACGGUACUGACGCUGAGACGCGAAAGCGUGGGGAGCGAACAGG